rnacentral:rRNA from 1 species
GCGGGGGAAGGUAGCUUGCUACUGGACCUAGCGGCGGACGGGUGAGUAAAGCAUAGGAAUCUGCCUAUUAGUGGGGGACAACAUCUCGAAAGGGAUGCAAAUACCGCAUACGUCCUACGGGAGAAAGCAGGGGAUCUUCGGACCUUGCGCUAAUAGAUGAGCCUAAGUCGGAUUAGCUAGUUGGUGGGGUAAAGGCCUACCAAGGCGACGAUCUGUAGCGGGUCUGAGAGGAUGAUCCGCCACACUGGGACUGAGACACGGCCCAGACUCCUACGGGAGGCAGCAGUGGGGAAUAUUGGACAAUGGGGGGAACCCUGAUCCAGCCAUGCCGCGUGUGUGAAGAAGGCCUUAUGGUUGUAAAGCACUUUAAGCGAGGAGGAGGCUACUUUAGUUAAUACCU